GACGAACGCUGGCGGCGUGCCUAAUACAUGCAAGUCGAGCGAAGUUUUUCUGGUGCUUGCACCGGAAAAACUUAGCGGCGAACGGGUGAGUAACACGUAAAGAACCUGCCCCAUAGACUGGGACAACUAUUGGAAACGAUAGCUAAUACCGGAUAACAGCAUUAACUGCAUGGUUGAUGUUUAAAAGUUGGUUUUGCUAACACUAUGAGAUGGCUUUGCGGUGCAUUAGCUAGUUGGUGGGGUAAAGGCCUACCAAGGCGACGAUGCAUAGCCGACCUGAGAGGGUGAUCGGCCACACUGGGACUGAGACACGGCCCAGACUCCUACGGGAGGCAGCAGUAGGGAAUCUUCCGCAAUGGGCGAAAGCCUGACGGAGCAACGCCGCGUGAGUGAAGAAGGAUUUCGGUUCGUAAAGCUCUGUUGUUAGGGAAGAAUGAUUGUGUAGUAACUAUACACAGUAGAGACGGUACCUAACCAGAAAGCCACGGCUAACUACGUG
rnacentral:rRNA from 1 species